UACGGAGGGUGCGAGCGUUGUCCGGAAUCACUGGGCGUAAAGGGCGCGUAGGCGGUCGGGUAAGCGUGCGGUGAAAGCCCGGGGCUCAACUCCGGGUCGGCCGUGCGAACUGCCUAACUUGAGCACUGUAGAGGCAGGUGGAAUUCCGGGAGUAGCGGUGGAAUGCGUAGAGAUCCGGAAGAACACCGGUGGCGAAGGCGGCCUGCUGGGCAGUAGCUGACGCUGAGGCGCGACAGCGUGGGGAGCAAACAGG
rnacentral:rRNA from 1 species